GAGGGAAAUUUUUUUUUCUUUUAAUGGGUUUUUAUUUAACAGAAAUCUCUGGUUUAAAAAAGGUCAUUGUUAGUUCGGAAUAGAGAACUACAAUAGUUCUUACCAGUUUAGAUUAACUGGUAAGAAAGACCACCAACCUCACAGGAUUGUUUUUGCGUCUGGAGAAAAGGUCAAAGGGAUGGAUGGGACUGCUACUCUGCAUAUUGGAACUCCAAGAAGUUCAUGGUAGAUCCCACACAAAUGCCCACAUUUUAGCAUCAGUGAAUAUGUUGUACCAUUGGAUAGUUUUUUCUCUUCCAGAGCCAUCUGGACUACUUCCAGACUAGUUUAACUCCUUGUACUCUACCAGGCUGUUCUUCAUUGCCUGUAAUAACCUCUGUUUUACAGGUAACACCUUCCAUGAAUACCUACAACCCAAAUGGUAUCUGAAGUGUGAUCUGAAAACUGAGUUUCUCUCUGAGGCAGCACAUCCAAGUAGUUUGUAUAUCUGUGGUGUUUGCCUUAUUGCCAUCCAGGUGGACAAAUCUCUCUUCCAGAUCAGCUCAAAUCUCCAUUUGUGCCAUGUGUUCUUCAAAAUACAGUUCUCUUCCACUCAUGCAUAUUGCAAGCAUUCAGAAGACUUCUCUGUAUGGUCUUUUGUAGACUGAUAUGACUGAGCUGUCAUGUAUGAGCUAAUGAACAAUGCAUGUGGAACAGCAGCCCAGAAAGACUUGCCGGCUUUAGCCAAAUGUCUUGAGGCUUAUUCAGGGAGUCUGUCACCUCUGUCUACCAAAUAGCUCAUCAUCAUAACCAAACUGGCAUGGUGAUAGUACACAGGACACAGCACUCUGAGGAGAAAACAGCUGGGAAAACUUUCAACAACAAAAAUGGCACAAGAUGAAAGCAACCUACCCUGCAAGUAUUAAUACAGAUUAUAACCUAGGUUGGAAGGAACCUCAAAAGAUUAUCUGGACAUUUUAUAGGGAAGAGAGCCCAGAUGAGACUAUCUAGCACCAUGUCCAAUCACACCUUUAAAACAUUCAGUGAUGGGGACUGUGCCAUGUCUCUGGGAACGUUGUUCAAAU
rnacentral:lncRNA from 1 species